CAACCCUCAAGCACAGCUUGGCUUUGGGAGAGGUCCCCGGGACCCUCCCGCAACCCGUUGGCGGCACCGUCCGGCUUCUGAGCGUAGCAGAAAUCCUCGCUCUGGGAGUCCGCGGCGGGAGCCUGCCGCAAACAAAACACCUAGA
rnacentral:misc_RNA from 1 species